rnacentral:lncRNA from 1 species
ACAGCUCACAGCACCCGUGGAGGCCAAAUCAUGCUGGGAUGGACCCUCUGUAUUUGCAGCCCAAACGUGUGUCUGUGAGCUGCAUGUGUUAAAACGUGUUUGCAUUUGGGAUGGGGACUGAGGAAGCAUCUGGGGACUGGACAGAAGAGUUUCCCCAGGAUGCAGUACUUUGAACAAACCAUGGAUUCCAGAAAAGACAUCUGUUUCCAUCAAGAACUAACAUGGAAUAAUAACAAAGAAGAUGUGGCCACAUGCUCUCAGGUAGAAACUGAAGGUCAAAGAAGAGAUAUGAGAAGGAGUUUUCCCAUCAAGGGAGGUCCUUUUCUGAUGGAUGACUAAGCCCUGAGAAAUGCUUAGAAAUAGGCAAGAGGGGAUGAAUGCUGCUCUACAUUCAGGUAGCUUUUUGGCUUGGCAAAACUUUAAAAUGUGAUGAAAUCUCUAGAGAGCAAGAAAAAAAAGAUACAGAAAUGGAAAAACCCUUAUGGACCCCAACAACAACAACAACAACAAAACUGUUCUCUAUUACCAUGGUCCCAUCUAUUCCUAUUGAAAUGUAGACCAAGAUGGAUAAGAUGAAUAUUGUAUGUUGACACAGCAAAAUAAUCUGCAGUAACAAAGCCAUGCCUUUGCUUCCUAAAGUUAUCAGAAUGGCACCUUAAAAUUAUGGUCAUAAAGGAACCUGUGAUUGGCCAUACGUUUGAGUUUUCAAGAAGAGAUCUUACACGGAACAUGAGAAAACUACAGUGACUCUCUUGAGAUUUUUCGAAUGACACACAAGCACCAAAGAGGAACUUUUGCCUUUUCGGACAAGUUAAGUACAUUAAAUAUAAUAAGGUCUGAUAAAUCAGAAACAAAAAGUGAAAUUCAUGUUAAGGCCUCAACUCAGUGUUUUAGAAGAGAAUUUUUCUGGGUUUUAUAGUAUCUGACAGUUAAUAGGCCAGGCACAGUGGCUCACACCUGUAGUCUCAGCACUUUAGAAGACAGAGACAAGUGGAUCUCUUGAGCCCAGGAGUUCGAGAACAGCCUGGGCAAUAUUGUGAGGCCCCCAUCUCUACUAAAAAUAACAAAAUCAGCUAUUAGCUGGGCAUGAUGGCAUGCAUCUGUGGUCCUAGCUACCGGGGAGGCUGAGGUGGGAGGAUUGCUUGAGCCUGGGAGGCAGAGUUUGCAGUGAGCCAUGAUUGCACCACUGCAUUCCAGCCUGGGUGACAGAAUGAGACCUUUUCUCAAAAAGAUAAAAAAUAAAUAAAAAAUUAAAGGAAUCCAGUUAACAGUUGUCGCAGGAUGUUAAAGAAUCAGGCUUUAUGGUUUUAAUCAUUACAUAUUCCAGAGGUAAAAUUCUGAGGAAAUCAUUUUUAUGGGUUUAACAGCCAUUCAUACUAUUCUUUAAUGAACAGAGAUUCUGCCACGGAAGAAAGGCUAUUGCAAUUGUCUAGUUUGAGGUUGAUAAAAUUUCUUUUUGACUGGAAAAGAGAAAUUUCCAGUGAAAGGUGAUUUCUUGGCCGGGCACAGUGGCUCAUGCCUGUAAUCCCAGCACUCUGGGAGGCAGAGGCAGGUGGACCACCUGAGGUCAGCGGUUCGAGACCAGCCUGGCCAACAUGGCGAAACCUCGUCUCUACUAAAAAUACAAAAAUUAGCUGGGCGUGUUGGUGGGCACCUGUAAUCCCAGCUACUUGAGAUACUGAGGCACAAGAAUCACUUGAACCUGGGAGGCAAAGGCUGCAGUGAGCGGAGACUGUGGCACUGCACUCCAGCCUGGGCCACAGAGUGAGAUACUGUCUUAAAAAAAAAAAAAAAAAAAAAGAAAGGUGAUUUCUUUACACAGUAGGAACCGGGGGCAAUUAACUUUCGGGCACUUACUUGUACUCAAUUAAUAAUUGAUAUAUAAAUGAAUGUAUCAAAGGCAUCCUGGGAGAUCCCCACAAAUCUGAAACUGCCUACAACAUCCUCCCAAUUUGAUCGGAAUAACUUAAUUGUACUAGGCCUUAGGUUCUGUAAGAAUCCAAAGUGGUGUAAGGUAAGUUUUAUCUGGAAUAGACAGUACAAAUAACAUAGUUCUCCAAAGAAUACAUAAUAUACAAUUGAUGAUGGUAGAAAGUAGAACAAUGGGAAGUGGUUACUCCUUAAGAAUAAUACUUGCUUUCUCCAAAAGGGCUCACUGAGCCACCCAGCAUAUUCCAAGAGUCUAAACAAGGACCGUUGACUAAUUACUUCCAUUAGACUUCCUCUUCGAGAUCCAAAGUUACAUCUGUCCUUCCUCCUUCUCCUUAGAAGAACCAGCUCUCCCAAGAUCUAAGAAGAAAACUCCCAGAAUUAGGCCACGGUAGGCUGGGAAGUAGUUGAGUGAGACAUUUUUUGUACCUUCAGGUGCUGAAAACUCAGCCUCUUUUGAGGAGUUGCCAGAUCCUCCUGGAUCCUAGGAGGGCCAAACCAGCUCAUGUGUCCUAUUAAGAUUCACAGCAAGUGGUCAUGGCCUUCCUGGGCAUGGCUUUACGAGCUGUGGGGAAGAGUUCAGAAGACCCAUAUGGGCUGGAGGAGCCUGUUCUUUGGGAGGGUUUCUGCAGGUAUUUUGAAAUGAUUCUGAAGAACUGGCUCUAGGCCAUGUUUUAUUUUUCAGAGGGAGGCUUAUAUGCAAUCAAACUAACCCCAGUGAAAAUGAAAUCACAGUUAGGAGAAGAAGAAAGGACCAGAAUAGUUCAUGAAUUGCCGUACUCCUUACUCUUCUAAUGUAAACAAUAUUAAAAUGCAAUUAUUUCACUAAGGAAAGCUUUUCAAGGUACAGUUCCUUUAAGAAUCAGUUCUGCUGGUAAGGGAACCAAAAAAAUCUCUGUACUUCCUCAAUGGAUUUUAAAUAUAUCAGUAACUCUUCUUGCCCCAAUCCCCAUCAUCCAAAUUUACACUAACCAAAGAAUUUAUGGGUAUAAAAUUACUGUCCUGGGUGGAGGAACUCCUACACAGAAUAGCAACAUGCUUUUAUAGCAAAAGAAGAUGAUGGAGUCUUUAGCAUCCAUGCUGUUUUAUUCAGAAAGAAAAAAAUAUAUAUUGGGGGGGUGGGGGCUGAAGUUAAAGAUAUAUUUUCCUCUUUGCAGCUCUAUAAUUUCAUUCCCCAUAAAAGAGUGAAUCAGACUGAGUUGUCAAAUGAAAAGUAAACUUCAUCGCCUUUGCGAUCAGAAUAAUUUAAUUAGCUUUAUUGGCUCUUACAGGCUGUCACCUUAUUUAUUGGUUUUUCAGCUUUCUUCUCAUUUUCAAUUAGGCUUUAAAAAAACAAAUGCAAAAUCAUUCACUAAAUUCAGAAUAAUUAAAACAAUAUUGUGUUUCCAGUUUGGAAACAUGGUAGAAUGUAUUGCUUCUGGGUACACUUCGGAGAGGUUAAAGUGACAGAGCAGAUAAAAAGGACACUUAGUACACACGUAAAUCAUUUGCAUUACAAAUAAGAUACUUUAGCAGGGGUUGGACUCCCUGCCUGACAGUCAGGAUUAAGUUCCCAUAUUAAUACAUGCAUUUGGUGUGGUUAUUUUGGGUGAAAGACUUCAUCCAUCAAUGCCCUCUGCCACUAAGUAAGGCCAACCUGUAAACUGAUCACCACAGCCUGUCAACACUGGUUACUUAAUUAUAUAAAGAAAAUAUGUUUAAAAGACUUUUGAUAAUUUGGUUAGUAUUUCAACAUCUUUUUCAAGGUUCCUUAAAAUAAUAGCUAAAGCAUUUUUAAGAAUUAAAAACUGAAAACUAUGACUAUUUUUAUGUUUCCUGCUAAUCUUUCUUUUUCUUUUAUUUGCAGAAGGGAAAAAUAAAGAUUCAGUAAGCAUUAAUGAAGAUGAAUAUAAAUGAAAUAAUAUUUUUAAAAGAUAUUUUAAUUAAAAAUUAAAUUCAAUGCAUG